AUACGAAAGGUGCAAGCGUUGUUCGGAUUUACUGGGCGUAAAGAGAUCGUAGGUGGUUUAUUAAGUCGGAUGAGAAAUCCCGGGGCUCAACCCCGGAACUGCAUUCGAUACUGGUAGACUAGAGUUUGGGAGGGGUAAGCGGAAUUCCGUGUGUAGCAGUGAAAUGCGUAGAUAUACGGAGGAACACCUGAGGCGAAGGCGGCUUACUGGACCAAUACUGACACUGAGGAUCGAAAGCGUGGGUAGCAAACAGGAUUAGAAACCCCAGUAGUCC
rnacentral:rRNA from 1 species